GGAGGGGCGGAGCGCAUUUCUGCUGAGAGCUCCCUGUAGCUCUUAACUGGCUGGGAGCUGGUUGGGCCUGCUGGUUACGGACCCGCUGCCCCGCGGGCGUCUGAGUUAGCCGCGGGUAGCCUUGAAAAAAAUCAAACAGAAAGGAAGACGUGCACUGUUGAAGGCUAAGAUUCUCUGACUGUGGCCCUACAUACUAGACUGACAAAAGAGAAUAACAGUUUAUUAAUGUGCAG